rnacentral:lncRNA from 1 species
AAGUCGGUGAGAAAAAGUUGGAGACCCAAGACCCGCUGAUCGAAGUAAAUCUGGGAUUCAACGAAGAUAAGAGACCGACAUUGUAACAUACUAGAUUUUGGUAUAAAAAUAAAAAAUAAAUAAAAAUAGUAUGAGAAGUUAUUUUUAUUAAAUUUGUAGGAGUAAAAUAUAAGUCAGAAGUGACUUGUGCUGAAAUCGGAAUGAAAACAGAAAAUCUAGAAUUUUCUGUUGGAAACGGGACAAAUAAAUUAGCAGAAAAUGCACAGUCUCAGAAAAUUAUGAAAAUUGGAGGAUGAGUCAGAAAUAUUUUUAUGAGGCUAGAUUUAAAGUUUCAUAUUUUUCUGACACCCGUAGAGUGAGAAAUAAAAUCCGAGAGUUAUCUGAUAAAGAUUACAGUUCGGCACAGUUUUCGGUGACCAAAUGUGGUCGAAACUGAAAACUUAAAAUAUAUUCUUACUCAGUACAUUAAACUGAGCCUGCCUGUCAAAUUUGAGCUCAAACGGACGUUCAUAAGGGCUCCAACUAUUCCGAACUGCAAAAACUGCCUGAAGUGAAUAGUGCCUUGGGGUGCAUU